CUUUCUUUCACAAUGUCACAAGCUAGCAAGCCCUUAGCAGGUCUAGCGUGUUCCUGUCCCAUAUUUGAGUAACCAAAGCGUGCCACACGUGGAAGACAAAGAAGUAUAGUAAGUGUAGGGGGAAAAAGAAUGUCUACAGUGCUCGACUGCCACGAGAACUUGAGCCCCGUGCGUCUUCCCCAAACGUAGACUAGUCACGGAGAUCCGCCCACCCGGGGUGGUGGUC